rnacentral:rRNA from 1 species
AGCAGCCGCGGUAAUUCCAGCUCCAAUAGCGUAUAUUAAAGUUGUUGCAGUUAAAAAGCUCGUAGUUGAAUUUCGGAAUCUGUCCGUUGGUCGGGCUUCAUUGUCCGUACUGGUGUGAUGGGUUCUUACCUUCUGAAUAACCAGCAUGCCAUUCAUUUGGUGCGUUGGGGAAGCAGGACUAUUACCUUGAAAAAUUAGAGUGCUCAAAGCAGGCUAGUGCCUGAAUACAUUAGCAUGGAAUAAUAAAAUAGGACGGCAUGGUUCUAUUUUGUUGGUUUCUAGGAUCACCGUAAUGAUUAAUAGGGAUAGUUGGGGGCAUUAGUAUUCAAUUGUCAGAGGUGAAAUUCUUGGAUUUAUUGAAGACUAACUUCUGCGAAAGCAUUUGCCAAGGAUGUUUUCAUUAAUCAAGAACGAAAGUUAGGGGAUCGAAGACGAUCAGAUACCGUCGUA